rnacentral:siRNA from 1 species
AGCCUCUAAGUUGUUGUAGGUAUC